rnacentral:lncRNA from 1 species
UUGAAUUAUUUUCUUCACUUCAUUUGAGAAAUAUAGGUGGAUUGAGAGACAUUCUUCAUUCAAACAAAAGUUUAACAGCUAUUUCUAAAACACAUAUCAUCUGAAGCUAUGGAAGUAGUUUGUGACUGUUUUGUUUCCACAAAGUUUGAAUUAUUUUCUUCACUUCAUUUGAGAAAUAUAGGUGGAUUGAGAGACAUUCUUCAUUCAAACAAAAGUUUAACAGCUAUUUCUAAAACACAUAUCAUAUGUGCACUGCGAGUCCUCGAACAGCUCCACGCGUCUCCAGCUCUGCCCAAGCCCGAGCCACGCGACGGGCUGUGAUCGCGCACGGACCAGACGAGAGCUCUUCAACUGUGUGAUCCAAAUGAAUUUGAGAACACCUAUUUACUGCUCCGCCCUGUGUCCUGCUGGCCAGAAGUGCCCAUCAAUUUCAAAGGCCUCUGUGUGACUGGAUUGAGGAAGCCAAGAGCAGGGAGAAGAAUAGAUCCAGGUCUUCCCAUUACUCCAAAAUGGAGCCUAGCCCUCUGGCAGCACAGUCGGCCAGCUGGGACCACGGUGGCCAUUACUGGAAGUGUGAUCAUCUGCCCUCUCUCCUCAGUGCCCUUGGAAUAUGUGCUCUUCUGUCUGGCUUCAAUUUCUCUUACUUCUUUGUGUGUGAAGAGUCUUCCUUUCAAUCAGCAAACUCUUCCUGCACACUAUAAAGCCCACUUUGGUCUUCAGAAUCUUUCAGUGCCUGAGCUUGUCAGUAUGAGGUUUCUCUUUCUUUAUUUCCAAAUGUCCUGCUUUCUUUGUGUGCAACUUCUUAAGAAUUUGGCAAAGUAAACAACAAAGCAGCAAUAUUUCAUAGGGUUUAAACUUCCCUUUGGUCCUGGAUAGAAAGGAUUUUUUUUUUUUUUUUGAGACGGAGUUUUGCUCUUGUAGCACUGGCUAGAGUGCAAUGGCGCAAUCUUGGCUCACUGCAACCUCUGCCUCCUGGGUUCAAGGGAUUCUCCUGCCUCAGCCUUCCGAGUAGCUGGGAUUACAGGCACCCACCACCACGCUGGCUAUUUUUUUUGUAUUUCUCAGGAGAGACAGCAUUUCACCAUGUUGGUCAGGCUGGUCUCGAACUCCUGACCUCAGGUGAUCCACCCACCUUGGCUUCCCAAAGUGCUGGGAUUAUAGGCCUGCCACCUGGAUCUAUUCUUCUCCCUGCUCCUGGCUUUUUCAAUCCAGUCACAAAGAGGCCUUUGAAAUUGAUGCCUGCCACCACACCUGGCAGAAAGGAUGUUUUUGUUUCUUCUUUUUCCUGUUCCUUUCUCUGCAAUCAUCUCUCUGAGUCUCAGACAUGUGGCACUGGUUGGCUGGCAGCACCUUCUGUGUGUCUGAGCCCUUACAUAGCUUCCAGAGGAAGGGGUGCUCCGUUGGGGUCCUGCCUGCUUUUGGAGCAUUAGAAUCUCCUUUUUUGCAAGCCUCUGUCUCCCAUCAUUUAACACCCAGCUGUGUCUCUCUGCCCACUGACCAGAAUCUUUUCGCAGUAGGUGGGUUUUAAAAAGCACUCACCAGAACUCCCAAAUGCUAGGGUCUCAUGGCCCCUCAAAAACUCAUUACCUUCUCUUUGGGAUCCUCAGACCUGGCAGGAACCUCACAUAGGAAGAAAGGCAGCCAGGGAGCAGGCAGUGAGGACAGGUUGUAAUCAGGCAGUUCUGGCUGGGCAUAAAGUCUGCUCCUGCUGAAGGCAAGCUGCUCAACACUGCACUGGACAUCCUCCAUGUGUGGAAUCUAGGCAAAGCAGCUCUGUCCUCUAUUAACAAAUAACUGAGCCUGGGCAAUCUGUUACUUCAACUGUCCUUUCAAGCCAGGCUUUGCAGUAACAGGAAUUUGAGGUCCAGCAUGCAGAGACAGACCUAAGUGUGAGCCUCUGCUACUUAUGAGCUGUGUGACCUGGGGCAAAUUACUUAACCUCUCUAUACCCUAUUCCCUUCACUUGUGCAAUAAGAAUAAAUAAUACCACACACUUCGGAGGCAUGGCGUAAGACUCAAAUGACUAAUAUAGGGAUAGUUCAGGGGCAGAUACACGGUUGGAAAGCACACUAGAAAUAUCAGUAGAAUCUGAAUUUUCCCCUACCUGCCUCCUUGUUUUCACUACAAAUAACAUUUCCUUUCCUGCUUUUAAGUCAAGAGGGGAACACACUGAUUCUUUAGCAGACAGUUUAGCACACACUUCAAGCCAGAGAGUGUACCAGCAAUGUGGAUUCAGAAAUAAAUAUGAUGGGAGCCCUGCUCUCACAGGAUGGGGUUGGGGGUGGGGGAUAAAGUCCCAAGGGAGUUGGACAGUCUCCAGAUGGGUAGUCACUGCUGGGCAGAAACACAUGAGGGAAGUGUCAGGAGCCCGAAAGAAGCUCUGAACAGGUUGGAACACGUUUUCUGGAGGAUGGGACAUUGAAACUGAAUCACCUACAAUGUUGAAGGCAGAUGGUAACCUAAGAAAGGUAAAGCCUUGUUAAUCAAAUCAAUUCUUUUCACUUUAACUGUAUUGGAAAGAUACUUUAAAAAAUCUUCAUAACAACUGAAGCUCGAUGAUGCCUUGAUUCUGCAUUAACAUCCUUGCCCAUUUCUUGAUACAUUUUCAAUUUACCUUCAUGGUAAUUUACACUCAAGGAAGCUGUCCAAGAUAUGCGGGGGAUUCAAUAAAAUAGGUCAUGGAGUUAAAUGCUGUGGUGAAACACAGGGCUUAAUUUUAUGGAUAAAAUUUAAACUGCUUAGCUGCCUUUUUUGCAUUAUUCAUGUUAAGACUAAUGAUUACUCACUAAAUGGGAAGGAAUCACUGUAGAAAUCAGGAAGCCAUUUUCUUAAUUCUUUAAGCACAUCUGAUGGAGCUGUGGACUCUGCCCUUGAGGUUAACAGCAUUGUAUUAGGGAAGAGACCUGCUUGGCCCACCAGUCAACCUCCCUUGCCUGGGCUGCUCCUGAAACUGCUACAGGAACAGGAAACUUGAAACAAGAUUUUUUCCUAAAAUUGACAUUGGGUAGAAUGAACAGGAUAGAAGACAAUAUAUUAAUGUCAGUUCCUUCUGGUAUUUUUCAAAGUGAAGUCUGCAUUGAUGUCAUUGACAAAAAUGCAAAUUCCAGAUUGUAACCAAAUCUGCUUACUGGCAGUGAGGUUUAGGCACUUUAAUUAUUCACAAGCAUCCCAGGCAAUUCUUAUGUGCUAGUGGAGAACCACAGAUUGGCAUUGGCUAUAGAGAGACCACUUCCUUUCAGUCAUCCAAGGUUAUUUUAUUAACUUAGCACUGGGCUCCAACGUAAACAAGGGCUACUUUUCUAUAAUGAUCAAAUUACUAAUUUUAUAAGUAUAGAAUAAAAGGAUAUGGGUUUCUUAGAUUGUAAAUGUUUGAUGUAGUUAAUGCAAUUUCAUUUUUGAGGUUUGUUUCUAAUAAUACUCUUAAUUUACAUGUCUAAUGGAUUCCUUGUACACAAUUCUGAUCAUGUAAAUUUAAGAUGAUCUUUUCCACUUUGCAAUACAAGACAUUUAAAAUAACCUAAAGUUGCCCAUUCUCACUAAGCACCUGAAAAUUAGUCCCUGUGGGGAAACUUUUUUCAAGUUUUAUUUUUCUUUUUAUUUCAAGUGUUGUUUAUAUUGUUUCUCUAACUGUUCUACCUAAUGAUUGCCUAGUCCCAGAGGAAAUGCAAGUUCACUGAAAUCUAAGGGGGGAAAAAAGACACGAAAAACCAACAAGUGCAAAGCAGUGUGGUGCAGAAUGUGGUGGCAGAGCAACAACCACUCUCAGCAAAAUCCUCAUUAAUUCAUGCCAGUAAGUAUGCAAUGAGGAACUGCAGUAUGCAGGGCACUGGGUGGGGCGAUGCCAGCCCUCCUGAUCCUUAUCCCAUAACUUAUCAGGUGUGUUCAAGUUCUUAGUGCGUCUCAAGAAAAAAUAUCUCAGGUUCGAAUUGCUGCAAAGUUUUUCAAGCACAUCCACCGAUAGCAAGACCCACUGGAGGCAGAUCAGCGAUGAGUCUGAGGGCGGCACAAAGGGUGCUACCAGGUGAUCACCAGUCCUUCCUCCUCAUCCUUAUUCAUUCCUUAGACAUCUUGAUAUUAGAAAUUAUUGGUUUGUGAAUGCACCUAUUGUUAACUCUUUCAAUAUACAAAUACAUGCAAACAUAUGUAUAUUCUACAUAUAUGGACAGGCACAGAUUUUUUUUUAUGUUGGGCUCCCUCAAACAGAAUUAAUCUGUGAGGGUAUAAACCCACUUCACAAUGUCCACAGUGGGGCCAAAACCGCUUUUGAGGUGAUCAACUCUAUGCUGGGAGCAGGGGAGUUCUGGGCUGAACUCAAAGAUGCUUUUCAGCUCUAAAGUACCAUCAUCAUCUUCAUCCUCAUCUUCCUUUUCUCUUAAGUGCCCAGAAUGUGCCAGGCUCUGUGCUGUUUACAGGGUUUAUAUUCUCACAAAAAUCUCAAAAGCCAAUUGCCAGAAUUUCUCUAAAGUUUCUUAAUUGGUUUGGCACAAGCUGGAAAUGGUAGUGCUUGGAUUUGAAAGCAGGCCCAUUUGCCUGGCUUUGAAGUUUUUUUUUUAUGUUUUUGGUGCUUGUUUUUACCAUACUACGCAUCUCUUAAAUUCUUUGUCCCUAAAAUGGGGGAGGGGGCAAUAAUGCCAACCUCAUGGGAUUGUUUUGGCAAUUAAAUAACAAUGUAAAAUUCUUUUUGUAAAAUUUAAAGAGCCAUGCACAUAUAACAUUACUAUUAUUUUGGCUUCAUGUGAUUUUUUUUUUUUUCUGUAACAAAUUUACUUAAAUAUCUAGAUAAUGACUUCAAGAAAAUUGUCUUCCUUUGUAAUUCUACAUAUUUUAUUUUUAAAUAAUUUUAGACUUAUGAGUGUUUUAAAGAUAGUACAAAGAGUUCCCAUAUAUCCUUUAUUCAGCUUCUACUAAUGUUAAUAACUUAAAUAACCAUGGUACAGUGAUCUGAACCAGGAAACUAACAUUAAUUCAACACUGAUCUAGAGACAUCAUUUCUAUUUCCCUAUUGUUCCACAGUUCAAUCGAGGAUCUCACAUUGCACAUAGUUGUCCUGUAUCUACAGUCUCUGCUAAUCAAGGACAGCUCCUCAGUCUUCAGCACCUGGGCUUUUACAAAGAGCACUGGUCAGUUAUUUUGUAGAACAUCCCUCAGUUUGGUUGGUGUUUUCUCAUGAUUAGAUUAAGCUUAUUCACCUUAGGCAAGAAUACCUCAGAACUGAUGCUGUGCUCUUCUCAAUACAUCCUACAUCAGAGGGUACAUGAUGUUGAUUUGUCUUCAUUUUGGUCAUAUUAACUUUGAUACUUGGUUGAGUGGUAUAUUCUAGAUUUCUCCACAUAAGUUAGUAUUUCCCCCUGCGUAUCUGUAAAUAAUAUGUGUCCUGUAAGAAAACACUUUGAGAUUAUGUAAAUAUCCUGAUUCCCAUCAUAUUUCACCUACUAAUUUUAGCAUCAUUGAUGAUUCUGCUCUGUAACAAUUAUUACUGUUAAAUUAGUUUGUAAAAUAGUUAUUUUCUAUUUCUGACAUUCUUUCUACAAUAUUAAUUAGUAUUCUACCGUAAGGAAGGAUUGACCUUUCUCCUGCAUUUCUGUAUUCAUCUAAUCAUUUAUUUUUGUCAAUAUGGAUUCAUGGGUACUUAUUUUAUUCUGUGGGGUGUAAUCCCUUCUCAUUAUGUAUUUUGUUCCUCAAAUUAUCCCAGAUUUGCCCAAUGAAAGCUCCUUUAAGUUGGCUCCUGUGGCUUUUUUACAUUCUCCCAUCAUUUAAGCAUUUCCUUGCUUUCAGAACUGCAAGAUGUUCAGGCUUAUCUUGUAAGCUCCCUGCCCCAGCCCUGGAAUCAACCAUUUCUCCAAGGAGCCCUGGUUUCUUUUAUUGAAGAAUGGCAUUUAGAAACCAAGGGGACUAGCUGUACUCAUUGCUACUGGGGUUUCAUGGUUUCUAGGCCCUCUUAGAAGGCAAAGCUAGAAAAUUUUAUAUAAAUAUAUAAUUAUAUUAAUUAUAUCUGCAACUAUCUAUAUCUAUCCUCAAAUGUGUACACACACCACUCUGUACUUAUUUCUAAAACUAUCCAUCUGUAUACAUAUUGAAAACUGUUCAUACUGAAACCUCCAAUUCCAAUACAACACCAAAGAGUUUAUUUUAGCCUCCACUCCUUUAUUCAUAAUUCCUUUCUUCAACUUAAGAAACCUGGCUCCAUUAUCUACAAUCAUUUACUCAAUCUUAGUACUUACAUAAAAUAGUUUCAAAAUUGCUCAUCCACACCCCUGUGGAAAACAAAUUACUAACUAGUGAACAGGACUUGUGUACACCUUUUCUUGUCCUUAGCCUUGCAGUAUCCAAUCACAAUGCUGCUUUCCAUAUUACUGAGGUUAUUUUCUUUCCUACUGCCCUCAGUGUGGCUAUGUAUUCAUUUGUAAUAGAGCCAGGCUCAUUUGUUACUAUUUGCAUUUCAUCUUGGGUUCCCCUUGCCUCCUGAUUGGCUUUCAUUGUAUAUUUAGUUUUCUGGCAUGUGAUCCCAUUGUUCCAAUAGUCAGAGCUAUAUAAAGAGGAACACUCAGAGAAGGGUCUCUCUGCCCUCAUCCUAUCUUCUACCCCUUUGCCAUUUCCCCAUUCUUUCUAUUCUGUUCCCAUCUACCCGUUGUAAGCCACCAAUUUCAUUAGUUUAUAAAAUCUAUUCUUAAAUGAUUUUGUCCUUUUAAGAUUUAUUUUCCCUAUAAUUAUCAGUAACUCAUAAAUUUCCCCAAGGCCUAACUCCGUCUUGACAACCCCAUCUUUAGGAAUAUUUAUACAGACACAUCUAUUCAAUUCACUUUAAUUAAUGUCUUUGUGCUGCUGGGAAUUUUACCUCACUCUGUUUUAUCUGAGGCAUCCUGGGUUUUCUGAAUGCUCUUUGCAUGGUUUCUCUUUAUGGUCUGUUUAGCAAAGAAGCCAACUGCUGGUUCUCCACUCUGAAUGAUCAUCGCUUCCCAUUUGGAAGACAAAGAUGGUUACUGGCCUUGGCAUAUUAACCCUGGAGCUGCCUCCUCAGGAAGUGAAGAGUUGGGCUUGGCUGGCUGGUAUAGCAGCAGCGACAGCAGCAGAGACAGCAUGGCCUGCUCAGAAGGGGCGCCCUAGUUGCCAAGGAUGAGGGCACUGGCUUUGCACUCUUUGAGACUGGGGCUUUACCUAACAAACACUUGCAAAACUUAUUACCCCUCCAGUCCUCAAGUUUCCUUGUACCUAUAGAAUAGGAAUGUUAAAACUUACUUCACACAACUGUUUUGAGGAUGAAUUGGCUAUUUGAAAACUUGGGCACUGGAAGAAGUCCAGUGAAGGACAGUGUCACUUCCGCUGUUCACCCUUUCAUGCUUAAUUAACAUUUAAUUAAUCAAAUAUGUUGUUUCUUUUUGUAUUUUUUUAACUGAGAUAAAUGUAGAUUUACAUAUAGUUGUAGAAAUAAUACAGAAUUAUCCCGUGUACCCCUUACCUAGUUACCCCCAAUGGUAACAUCUUGCAAUAUUAUACCACAAUGUCACAACCAGGAUAUUCAGAUAGAUGUCAUCCACUGAUCUUACUCAAAAUUCACUCAUUUUCCAUACAGUCCUUUGAUUGUGUGGUAGUUCUGUGAAAUUUCAUCCCAUCUGUAGUUUUCAUGUAAUCAUCGCCACAGUCAAGGCACAGAAUGCUUCACUUCCAUCACUAUAAGGAACCCUUGUGUUGCCCUUUUAUAACCACACCCACUUCUCUCCUGUCUCCCAAACUCCAUCUCUAAUCCCUGUUAACCACUGAUAUGUUCCUUACUUACACAAUUUUAUCAUUUCAAGAAAGUUACAGAUAUUGAAUCACAUAGUAUGUAACCUUUUAGGAUUGGUGUUUUUCACUCAGCAUUAUUCCCUGGAGAUCAUCCAAGUUGUUGCACGAAUGAUUUGUUUCUUUUAUUGCUGGGGAGUAGUCUAUGGUAUGGAUGUAUCACAGUUUAAUUAUUCGCCCCUUGAAGGACAUUUGGGUGGUUUCUAGUUUCUGGCUAUUGUAAAUGAAACUGUGAUGAACGUUUGUGUACAGGUUUCUGUGUGAACACAAGUUUUCAUUUCUCUGGGAUAAAUGCCUGUGAGUGCAACUGCUGGGUCAUAUGGCAAUUGCAUGUUUAGUUUUACAAGAAACUGCCAAACUGCUUUCCAGAGUGGCUGUGCCAUUUUAAAUUCCCUCCAGCAAUUAUAAGAGGUGCAGUUUCUCGGCAUUCCUUCCAAAAUUUGAUGGUGUUGCCAUUUUUUAUCUUAGCCAUUUUGGCAGGUGUGUAGUAAUAUCUUAUUGUGGGUUUUACGUUGCAUUUCCCUAAUUGUUAAUGUUGUUAAAUAUUUUCUCAUGUGCUUAUCCGCUAUCUGUGUAU